GAUAUUGCACAAUGGGGGAAACCCUGAUGCAGCGACGCCGCGUGAGUGAAGAAGUAUUUCGGUAUGUAAAGCUCUAUCAGCAGGGAAGAAAAGCUGACCGAAAGGUCAGCGGACAGUACCUGAAUAAGAAGCCCCGGCUAACUACGUGCCAGCAGCCGCGGUAAUACGUAGGGGGCAAGCGUUAUCCGGAUUUACUGGGUGUAAAGGGAGCGUAGACGGUAAGGCAAGUCUGAAGUGAAAGGCGGGGGCUCAACCCCCGGACUGCUUUGGAAACUGCGGUACUGGAGUGCAGGAGAGGUAAGUGGAAUUCCUAGUGUAGCGGUGAAAUGCGUAGAUAUUAGGAGGAACACCAGUGGCGAAGGCGGCUUACUGGACUGUAACUGACGUUGAGGCUCGAAAGCGUGGGGAGCAAA
rnacentral:rRNA from 1 species